UCCACCAUCCAACUUUCAUAGGACUGACAGUUAAUGACAUUAAAACGUCAAAUCAGCAAACAUCUAAAAGCUGCCAAGACCUAAAAGCUAAUGUUGUCAACUUCAAGGAAGUCAAGAGAGUAAAAGUUUUUGAGUGGGAAUUUCUGACUUGAGUGGUAAUUAAUUUUAAAAUAGAUCUUGAUUUGCAAUCCAGAAAAAAUAUAAGGAGAUGUCAUAAUGAAAGAAACCGAUUCGCAAUUAUGGCAUCCUAUUUGGUUGUAGCGGCUGACCAAAGCUCGCUUAUCUCUGACGUGGAAUCGAAAAGAUUAUCGCGGACUUUGAUAUCGAAGUGCUACUCAUCAUGAGAACACUUUCCCGAGUGCACUGAUUUCUAUGGUCUGAAGAUGGACUACUGCUGUGGUUUAGAGAACCGAGGAGCUGUCUAUCGCCAAAUUGUGGAAGCUGUUGGCGAUCUUUUCACGGAGAAGGGGCACUAUCUUGGAGUAUACUGCGCGGUGAUUUGCGUUCUCAUCACAUUCCUCACACUUCGCAAGUCAAGACCGGUGGAAAAGGAGAAUGAUUAACCAAUUUGUUGCAGUUGGUUGUGGUUUUCAUAUUAAUUAGUUGUAAUGUUAUAAGAUGGUUAAGGGAAUCUAGUCACAUUAUGCAUUUAUUUUGUAAAUAAAUAACCUCCCAAAAAAUG